ensembl:snoRNA
GCAGACAAACUCUGUUCUUUGCUGUUCACUCCAGCCUGGAACUUUUUAUGUCUGCUACAUAAACAUGCAGAAUGUAAUACUUCACUCGCUUUUAAAAGGCUGGUGUCAUUAUGUUCAGCUACAUUACA